rnacentral:rRNA from 1 species
GUGUCAGCAGCCGCGGUAAUACGUAGGUGGCAAGCGUUGUCCGGAUUUAUUGGGCGUAAAGCAUGCGUAGGCGGAUAUUUAAGUGGGAUGUGAAAUCCCGGGGCUCAACUCCGGUCUUGCAUUCCAAACUGGAUAUCUAGAGUACAGGAGAGGAAAGUGGAAUUCCUAGUGUAGCGGUGAAAUGCGUAGAGAUUAGGAAGAACACCAGUGGCGAAGGCGACUUUCUGGACUGUAACUGACGCUGAGGCAUGAAAGCGUGGGUAGCAAACAGGAUUAGAUACCCUGGUAGUCCACGCCGUAAACGAUGAGUACUAGGUGUCGGGGUUUCAAUACUUCGGUGCCGCAGUUAACACAUUAAGUACUCCGCCUGGGAAGUACGAUCGCAAGAUUAAA